rnacentral:lncRNA from 1 species
GGCUCUCCAAUGAUGUAGUCUAUAUCAGUGGGUCUGAGGAGAGGAAGUGUCCAGCGUCUAGACUGCUGCCAUGCUUACCUGCAAUUUAGUCCAGAUGAGAGGUGGGUCUUCUGGAUGCCAGGAGUCAUCAUACAGACAUUAGAGCAUAUACACAGCCCCAGUACCACAUCUCCACAAAGCUUAUCCUGGAACUUCCCUAAAGUACCUGCGGCUUCCUAAUUCUAGAAGAGCCUACAACUCAACUCCACCCACCUGAGAGCCUACUGAUCCUGUUACUUCUUUUCACAAGGCUUGCCCUUUUUCUCCCAUUAGUAAGGUUAGAUCCUCCACUUUUUGGAGCAUCCUAGACUUGCUUCCUCAUUUUAUUCCUUGCCCUUUUUUGACUUUAUUUAGUCCUCAAAACCAUUCUACUUCCCAACUUUUUUUAAAUUUAAUUUUCUGCAAUUACAUAUAGAUAAAA